rnacentral:misc_RNA from 1 species
CCAGAGUCAAUUCGAUCAAUAAGCUUUUGUAAGCACUCAUCCAUAAAAAACUCGACUAGUGCGGCUUCCUUUCGAGGAAAAGAUCCAAUGAUAGCAGGGGAGACACCAGCGUCCCUUGCACCAGCAAUCAUGGCUUCUUCACUCCAUCCCAACCUUAUCACGUGGCGAAAGGAAGCCUGAAGAACGCGAGCUUGCUCAUCUUGGUACUCAACUAUCGGAAUCCGCCUCUCCUGCUGGCGAUGGUGGUGGUGACCGUAUCGGGCAUCGUCAGCCGUAAAUGAUGUUGACCCACUUGAAGACGAAGACGUUGAAGAUGAUGACAAGUUUGAGUCUGAUUGGUUAGGUGUGGCCUCCACAUUCAGACAUCGGAUUUGAUUUUGAUUAUUAGGGUUUUGA